rnacentral:sRNA from 1 species
UGCAGAAGCAAAGGAGAAGAUAUAUCUAAAAGGAUUUUAUGAGGGUAUCAUGUUGGUGGAUGGAUUUAAAGGACAGAAGGUUCAAGAUGUAAAGAAGACUAUUCAGAAAAAGAUGAUUGACGCUGGAGAUGCACUUAUUUACAUGGAACCGGAGAAACAAGUGAUGUCCAGGUACUUGGAUUAUGGAGAAGAGAAUUGGAAGAAACAGACAUCUCAGUGCUUGAAGAACCUGGAAACAUUCUGUGAGGAGACCAGGAGGAAUUUUGAAGCCACCUUAGGUUGGCUACAAGAACAUGCUUGCUCAAGAACUUAUGGUCUAGGCACUCACUUGCCUUGGGAUGAGCAGUGGCUGAUUGAAUCACUUUCUGACUCCACUAUUUACAU